ensembl:miRNA mir23a-2 microRNA mir-23a-2
AGCUGGAGGGAUUCCUGGCAGAGUGAUUUGGCUGUGAUGUAAUGUAAAUCACAUUGCCAGGGAUUUCCAACCAGCUG